rfam:Puccinia triticina 1-1 BBBD Race 1 supercont2.1307, whole genome shotgun sequence.
GACUUGGUAGCCAGCUAGUUGGUAAAGGCAGCACUUCUAGUAUAGUGUCUUAGCUUCAAGCUCAGGUUGCUGGUUCAAAUCCUGCCCAAGUCA